AGUGAACGCUGGCGGUAGGCCUAACACAUGCAAGUCGAACGGCAGCACAGGAGAGCUUGCUCUCUGGGUGGCGAGUGGCGGACGGGUGAGGAAUACAUCGGAAUCUACUCUGUCGUGGGGGAUAACGUAGGGAAACUUACGCUAAUACCGCAUACGACCUACGGGUGAAAGCAGGGGAUCUUCGGACCUUGCGCGAUUGAAUGAGCCGAUGUCGGAUUAGCUAGUUGGCGGGGUAAAGGCCCACCAAGGCGACGAUCCGUAGCUGGUCUGGGAGGAUGAUCGGACACACGGGAACUGAGACACGGUCCAGACUCCUACGGGAGGCAGCAGUGGGGAAUAUUGAACAAUGGGCGCAAGCCUGAUCCAGCCAUACCGCGUGGGUGAAGAAGGCCUUCGGGUUGUAAAGCCCUUUUGUUGGGAAAGAAAUCCAGCUGGCUAACACCCGGUUGGGACGACGGUACCCAAAGAAUAAGCACCGGCUAACUUCGUGCCAGCAGCCGCCGUAA
rnacentral:rRNA from 1 species